AGUACGUGAAACUGCUUAGAGGUUAAGCCCGAUGAACCUGAAUAUCCAUUAUGGAAAAUUCAACAUUAAUAUUAUAAUAUUUAUUUAUAAAUAUUAUAAAAAUAGUGUGCAAUUUUUCCAUAUAAGGACAUUGUAAUCUGUUAAUGUAAUAAAUAUUUAUCAUAAGAUUCAAUAAAUAAAAGUUUAUUCAAAUUAGUUAUUUUCCGAUUUCUAACAUAGAAUAAAUUUAAUUGAAUUUGAUAAAUCAUUGACAGAUUUAUUUAUAUAUAGUGCUUAAAUUCUUAAUUGAAUUUUACAAUAAUUUAUAAAUGUAUUUUCAUUUAUUUAUUUAUUGUAUGCACUUAUAUGAUUAACAAUGCUAUAGAUUCAGGAUACCUUCGGGACCCGUCUUGAAACACGGACCAAGGAGUCUAACAUAUGUGCAAGUCAUUGGGUAUUUUUAAUAAAACCCAAAGGCAAAAUUAACUUAACUGUUUUAUGGGAUUAGUUUAUAUUUUAUUAUGAAAUAUUAAUUCAAUCCCGGGGCGUUCUAUAUAGUUAUGUAUAAUAAUAUUUAUAUUAUUUAUGCCUCUAACUAGAGCGUACCUUGAGCAUAUAUGCUGUGACCC
rnacentral:rRNA from 1 species